rnacentral:rRNA from 1 species
AUUGAACGCUGGCGGCAGGCCUAACACAUGCAAGUCGAACGAGUGGCGGACGGGUGAGUAAUGGCUGGACAACUGCCUGAUGGAGAGGGAUAACUACUGGAAACAGUAGCUAAUACCGCAUACCAUGGGAUGUGACCAGAUGGGAGUAGCUAGUAGGUGGGGUAAAGGCUCACCUAGGCGUCGAUCCCUAGCUGGUCUGAGAGGAUGACCAGCCACACUGGAACUGAGACACGGUCCAGACGCCUACGGGAGGUAGCAGUGGGGAAUAUUGCACAAUGGGCGCAAGCCUGAUGCAGCCAUGCCGCGUGUAUGAAGAAGGCCUUCGGGUUGUAAAGUACUUUCAGCGGGGAGGCGUUACCCGCAGAAGAAGCACCGGCUAACUCCGUGCCAGCCGCCGCGGUAAUUC